AGGUAGUCUAUAAUUUGGAAUCGACAAAAAAGAAAAUCAAACUUGUUUAUAUAGGAAGGAAAUCUUUUAUAAAUUAUUAAUUUGGAGUGAAAAAGCUGAUUAAUACAUGUAAUUAAGCAACAAACAGAAUACACACACAACAUUAAUUAUUCGCAUAAUACAUACAUUUAUAAAGGACAACAAACGAGAACACUGAUCAUGUUUCGCUUAGCUUAAGAGUAAAAAAGAUAAGCCAGUUUCUUUUGUAGAAGAAGCAAAGCCGUACAUGCUCGCCAUAAUUGAUUGAUCCUUAAUCAUUGUCCUGACCUAGCGCAGAGAUUAUUGUAGGCACAAGGGUGUUUUCGGGCUGUGUGUUCAGAUUUCCAACACAACUACCGUAUGAAUUUCUCAGGCAGAAGGGUUUCAUCCGGAUGGCAGUUUGGUAAACGUUCGUUUUGGUGGGUUCAGCCAAAAUCCUUAUGCUUAUUUCUGAUUCCAUCAAAAACUCCUCAUUUACUGGAAUGCAGUCUCCAAUCGUGGAACCAUUGCACUUGGUGGAGCUAAAACAUUCGAUCGUUUCGCUGAAGAUCAAUAAUGCCCACUGUAAAGUAGAGGAAAUUCAUGUCUCUCUUCAGAGAAAUCUCAACUAAUACUGAAGAUAAUUUAUAGAUAAAUUCAUAGU
rnacentral:lncRNA from 1 species